AACGAACGCUGGCGGCAUGCCUAACACAUGCAAGUCGAACGAGACCUUCGGGUCUAGUGGCGCACGGGUGCGUAACGCGUGGGAACCUGCCCUUAGGUUCGGAAUAACUCCCCGAAAGGGGUGCUAAUACCGGAUAAUGUCUUCGGACCAAAGAUUUAUCGCCUUUGGAUGGGCCCGCGUUGGAUUAGCUAGUUGGUAGGGUAAAAGCCUACCAAGGCGACGAUCCAUAGCUGGUCUGAGAGGAUGAUCAGCCACACUGGGACUGAGACACGGCCCAGAGGCGUGCGGGAGGCAGCAGUAGGGAAUCGGCGGCGAUGGACGAAAGUGGGAUCGAGGAACGCGGCGUGAGUGAAGAAGGUUGGCGGACCGUAGAACGCUGAGGGUAGAGAAGAACGUUGGUGCGAGGGGAAAGCUCAGCAAGGGACGGGAAGUACACAGAAAGGGAAGGCGAACGACGGG
rnacentral:rRNA from 1 species